rnacentral:rRNA from 1 species
AAGUCGUAACAAGGUUUCCGUAGGUGAAGCAAACGCACGUUUGCCUACCGGAGCCGAGCAGGUCGACCCUAAACACCUGCGCGAGUCUGCCCUUCGGCCAGGGUGGGCGACGCCAUCAAUCUGUGCUAGGAGCGAUCCUUCGGGCGUAACCAGCAGCUCGUCAAAGAGUUCACAGAUCAAACGAUGGCGGCCACGUGCCCGUGGUUUAGAUAUGAUCGGCCCCAGCUAUCAUUGGCUGGCGACAUCGUGGAACCUGCGGAAGGAUCAUUACUGAGAGGGGUCUCCGGACUCCGAGGGCUUCGGCCCUCUACUCUUCACCCUAUGUCUACACACCUUCGUUGCUUUGGCGGGCCUCGGGUUCGCCCCGUGCCGGCCGUGGGCCUUCGCGCCCCGGCCGAUCCGUGCCCGUCAGAGGCCCUUGAACCUUCUGUUAUCAGUGUCGUCUGAGUAAAACCACAAUAGUAAAAACUUUCAACAACGGAUCUCUUGGUUCUGGCAUCGAUGAAGAACGCAGCGAAAUGCGAUAAGUAAUGUGAAUUGCAGAAUUCAGUGAAUCAUCGAAUCUUUGAACGCACAUUGCGCCCCUCGGUAUUCCGGGGGGCAUGCCUGUUCGAGCGUCAUUGCACCCCUCAAGCGUAGCUUGGUAUUGGGCCUUCGCCCCCGCGGCGGACCCGAAAGUCAGUGGCGGUUCGGUGCGACUUUAAGCGUAGUAAAACAUCUCCCGCUUUGGAAGCUCGCGCUGUGGCCGGCCAUAACGCCCAAUCUUCAAUGAUUGACCUCGGAUC